CCUCCUGGCAAUGGACAAAGAGACACCUCCUUGGUGGUGUUGCUCUUAUGUCAGAUAUAGCAGACGGCAGUCCUUUGUUCAGCCUAGCUUGAUACUUGGCUUAGUGGCCAAAAGCUGUGUUAUGCCUAGGACUCAUAA